GUUGAAAUUUUAAAUAGUUAAUCAUUAAAAGGGUCAAUAGAAGGUAACAUUUGAGGAUAUACCCUGAAAGAGGUGAUGGAGUAAGCCCCACUAAUAACUGUGGAAAAAAAGUUCCAAGGAUUAGAAAUAGCAAAUGCAAAGUCUCCGACGUGGGAAUAUUGUAGGUAUAUUUAGGAGUUGUGAGGAGACCACCAUGGUUUGAAUGAUUCAACAGGGGAGAAGUAGGAAUUUGGACUUCAGAAUAAGCCUACAUUAGAAGAAAAAGGUAUCAAGUAUCUGAAUAACCACACUCUGAGACUCAUUUUACUUACUGAAAACUUAAAGAGCGGUUUAUGUCAGUUGAAAGUUGACAAUAUGCAGAGAACUCUGAAGAGAAGUAAGAAGUACCCAGUAUGAUGCUCUGAUGCAUGGAUAACUGGCUUCAUGAAUAAGAUGAAGACGCUGACGGCACCUACCUCAUUGGAUUUUUUUGAGGGGAGAAUUAUUUCAUUAGUUUGUAUUUACUUUUCAACUCCCAUCUCAAAACAAAAGGGGCCAGAUAGACACAGGAGGGGAUCCAGGUUGAAUCCACAGUCAGGAU